rnacentral:rRNA from 1 species
CGGGGUGGAGUAAUGUCUGGGAAACGUGCCUGAUGAGGGGGGAUAACUGCUGGAAACGGUAGCUAAUACCGCAUAACGUCGCAAGACCAAAGAGGGGGACCUUCGGGCCUCUUGCCAUCGGAUGUGCCCAGAUGGGAUUAGCUAGUAGGUGGGGUAACGGCUCACCUAGGCGACGAUCCCUAGCUGGUCUGAGAGGAUGACCAGCCACACUGGAACUGAGACGCGGUCCAG